rnacentral:tRNA from 1 species
GACACUUUGGCGGAGUGGUUAACGCGCUGCCCUGCUAAGGCAGUUCCUUCGGGAGCGCAGGUUCGAAUCCUGCAGGUGUCG